rnacentral:lncRNA from 1 species
GAGCAUUUUAGCAACAGCAUCAAACCCUCCAGAGCACCGAGGGAGCAUUUAGUAAUUGCCUUUGGGUUUUGGAAUCACCCUCUGGACCUGGGAGCAAGCGAUCCAGAGAGGGAAGAGUACAGGGGACAGGCGACGCGCUCCAGCCGGAGCCACCUCCUUCCCGGCCGCCCCCUCCUCACUCCCCUGACACACUCGCUAGCUCGCUUGCCGGCGCGCGCAUCCCUCCAGCCCCCCCCUCCGCCGGACCCGCACCUCGGCGGGCGCCACACACUCGGCAGCCCGAGCCGCGGUAGCCGCAGCGGGAUGGAGUCGGCAGGCACUGAGCGCCCGGCAGGCUGGCCCGGGGCGCCCCUCGCCCGGACCGGGCUGCUGCUCUUGUCAACGUGGGUCCUGGCUGGCGCCGAGAUCACUUGGGGCGCAACCGGAGGUCCCGGGCGCUUGGUGUCCCCGGCUUCGCGACCACCAGCGUUGCCUCCUCUCUUGCCUCGGGCAGCGGAGAACCGGUGGCCUGAGGAGCUGGCAUCUGCACGGAGAGCGGCUGCAC